CCUACGGGGGGCAGCAGUGGGGAAUAUUGGACAAUGGGCGCAAGCCUGAUCCAGCCAUGCCGCGUGAGUGAUGAAGGCCUUAGGGUUGUAAAGCUCUUUUAGCAGGGAAGCGGUACCUGCAGAAAAAGCCCCGGCUAACUUCGUGCCAGCAGCCGCGGUAAUACGAAGGGGGCUAGCGUUGCUCGGAAUUACUGGGCGUAAAGCGCACGUAGGCGGCUUCUUAAGUCGAUGGUGAAAUCCUGGAGCUCAACUCCAGAACUGCCUUCGAAACUGGGGAGCUCGAGUUCGGGAGAGGUGAGUGGAACUGCGAGUGUAGAGGUGAAAUUCGUAGAUAUUCGCAAGAACACCAGUGGCGAAGGCGGCUCACUGGCCCGUCUGACGCUGAGGUGCGAAAGCGUGGGGAGCAAACAGGAUUAGAUACCCGGGUAGUC
rnacentral:rRNA from 1 species